rnacentral:rRNA from 1 species
UUCGUAGGGGGCGAGCGUUAUCCGGAUUCAUUGGGCGUAAAGCGCGCGUAGGCGGCCGCCUAAGCGGAACCUCUAACCCCGGGGCUCAACCUCGGGCCGGGUUCCGGACUGGGCGGCUCGAGUGCGGUAGAGGAGAGCGGAAUUCCCGGUGUAGCGGUGGAAUGCGCAGAUAUCGGGAAGAACACCGAUGGCGAAGGCAGCUCUCUGGGCCGUCACUGACGCUGAGGCGCGAAAGCUGGGGGAGCGAACAGG